rnacentral:rRNA from 1 species
UGCAGUCGAACGAUGAACCACUUCGGUGGGGAUUAGUGGCGAACGGGUGAGUAACACGUGGGCAAUCUGCCCUGCACUCUGGGACAAGCCCUGGAAACGGGGUCUAAUACCGGAUACUGACCCUCACGGGCAUCUGUGAGGGUCGAAAGCUCCGGCGGUGCAGGAUGAGCCCGCGGCCUAUCAGCUUGUUGGUGAGGUAAUGGCUCACCAAGGCGACGACGGGUAGCCGGCCUGAGAGGGCGACCGGCCACACUGGGACUGAGACACGGCCCAGACUCCUACGGGAGGCAGCAGUGGGGAAUAUUGCACAAUGGGCGAAAGCCUGAUGCAGCGACGCCGCGUGAGGGAUGACGGCCUUCGGGUUGUAAACCUCUUUCAGCAGGGAAGAAGCGAAAGUGACGGUACCUGCAGAAGAAGCGCCGGCUAACUACGUGCCAGCAGCCGCGGUAAUACGUAGGGCGCGAGCGUUGUCCGGAAUUAUUGGGCGUAAAGAGCUCGUAGGCGGCUUGUCACGUCGGUUGUGAAAGCCCGGGGCUUAACCCCGGGUCUGCAGUCGAUACGGGCAGGCUAGAGUUCGGUAGGGGAGAUCGGAAUUCCUGGUGUAGCGGUGAAAUGCGCAGAUAUCAGGAGGAACACCGGUGGCGAAGGCGGAUCUCUGGGCCGAUACUGACGCUGAGGAGCGAAAGCGUGGGGAGCGAACAGGAUUAGAUACCCUGGUAGUCCACGCCGUAAACGGUGGGCACUAGGUGUGGGCGACAUUCCACGUCGUCCGUGCCGCAGCUAACGCAUU